rnacentral:tRNA from 1 species
GCUCAUAUGGCGCAGCUGGUAGCGCAACUGAUUCGUAAUCAGUAGGUCGGCAGUUCAAACCUGCCUAUGAGCU